rnacentral:rRNA from 1 species
AGAGUUUGAUCCUGGCUCAGAUUGAACGCUGGCGGCAGGCCUAACACAUGCAAGUCGAACGGUAACAGGAAGCAGCUUGCUGCUUUGCUGACGAGUGGCGGACGGGUGAGUAAUGUCUGGGAAACAGCCCGAUGGAGGGGGAUAACUACUGGAAACGGUAGCUAAUACCGCAUAACGUCGCAAGACCAAAGAGGGGGACCUUCGGGCCUCUUGCCAUCGGAUGUGCCCAGAUGGGAUUAGCUAGUUGGUGAGGUAACGGCUCACCAAGGCGACGAUCCCUAGCUGGUCUGAGAGGAUGACCAGCCACACUGGAACUGAGACACGGUCCAGACUCCUACGGGAGGCAGCAGUGGGGAAUAUUGCACAAUGGGCGCAAGCCUGAUGCAGCCAUGCCGCGUGUAUGAAGAAGGCCUUCGGGUUGUAAAGUACUUUCAGCGGGGAGGAAGGGGAUGUGGUUAAUAACCGCGUUCAUUGACGUUACCCGCAGAAGAAGCACCGGCUAACUCCGUGCCAGCAGCCGCGGUAAUAA